rnacentral:rRNA from 1 species
CCUACGGGUGGCUGCAGUGGGGAAUAUUGGACAAUGGGCGAAAGCCUGAUCCAGCCAUGCCGCGUGUGUGAAGAAGGCCUUCGGGUUGUAAAGCACUUUCAGUGGGGAAGAAAGCCUUGGGGCUAAUACCCUCGAGGAAGGACAUCACCCACAGAAGAAGCACCGGCUAACUCCGUGCCAGCAGCCGCGGUAAUACGGAGGGUGCGAGCGUUAAUCGGAAUUACUGGGCGUAAAGCGCGCGUAGGCGGUCUGAUAAGCCGGUUGUGAAAGCCCCGGGCUCAACCUGGGAACGGCAUCCGGAACGGUCAGGCUAGAGUGCAGGAGAGGAAGGUAGAAUUCCCGGGGUAGCGGUGAAAUGCGUAGAGAGCGGGAGGAAUACCAGUGGCGAAGGCGGCCUUCUGGACUGUCACUGACGCUGAGGUGCGAAAGCGUGGGUAGCAAACAGGAUUAGAUACCCUAGUAGUC